AACUUGCCUUUGUCAAACAAAACAGCAUGGACACUGACAAAACGUCAAUCACCAGUACUUUUCUCUCGGUUCCAUGUGCAUGCUCUCCAUCUGCACCAAUGCUGGAUGCGGGGAAGUAUUUUCUUGACAUCAAAGUACAAGAAAUUCAAGGACACAAUAUUGAAAGUUUUUGAAGGAAGUGAUCAUAACACAACAGAUAAUAUGGAACUUCAACAAGCGCAUAUUAGAAUUCGGAUCCUAUGGAAUUCGACUAACAGAAGAGAUUUAUUGUAUGAUUUAUAAAGCCUGAAAUAUUAGAUUAGGCUUAAAGUAUCAACUUUGUACAAAUAACUGGAAUUUAAAAAGGAUCUGCAAAAUAGAUUGAAAGUAAAGGGUAUAUUUAUAAUCCCGGCAUAUUCCACGAAAAUGGCUUCUAAGUGGCGAGUUUGAAUUACUUUGAUUUCUCAUAGUCUGAGGCAGGGUGAAAACCAUGUCCAUUAGUUCUGUUCAUCUCUCGAAAACAGUAAGAAGCGAGUGAGAAUUUCAGUUUUUAGAGUAAUAAUAGCAAAAACUUUAAAGAUAUCUACUUAAAUUACUUUACUUAUACUUUACGAAAGUAUUCUGACGGAUUUCUUCGUGUUUGCUCAUGAUGCAACGUCUGAUAAAUCGAAAAAGAGGCAGAAUCUCCUGCAAUUGCAGAAUGCGCUGAUCUUGUAUCAAAGAAUGCAUUACAAUCUAUUUAAUUGAGCAAUAGCUUAAUACCACUUCUCUUCUGUGAAAGGAAUACCAUUUCGGUUCCAGCAGCAAAUUCGAAAUGUGGGAGAUGUCUAGAUUGGCGGAAAAAAAUGGUACUGAAAUGAUAUCUGUAUUCAUAUUUCAGACCACUUACGAUCAUUAUGGAUGCAUUUUUUUUUCUUUGAAAAGUGUGCUGUCGCCAUCAAUAAUACGGUUUUCUUGGUUCCAUGUACAAGCCAUUAAUUCUCGCCUAUUUCCUUAAGAUGAUUUGAAGUAUCAAAUUCUCAUGAUGUCUACAUGUUUUAACCCAAGUGAUCACGCAGAAGAUACCAAAUGGAGCCUUCAAUCUUGCCAUUCAGAGCCUUUUCAAUGGAGCUAUGAAU